GACGAACGCUGGCGGCGUGCUUAACACAUGCAAGUCGAACGGAAAGGCCCUGCGUUUGUGGGGUUCUCGAUUGGCGAACGGGUGAGUAACACGUGAGUAACCUGCCCUUAACUUUGUGAUAACUUCAGGAAACUGGGGCUAAUACCGGAUAGGAGCUCCUGCUGCAUGUGGGGGGUUGGAAAGUUUCGGCGGUUGGGGAUGUACUCGCGGCUUAUCAGCUUGUUGGUGGGGUAGUUGCUUACCACGGCUUUGACGGGUAGCCGGCCUGAGAGGGUGACCGGCGACAUUGGGACUGCGAUACGGACCAGAAUCCUACGGGAGGCAGCAGUGGGAAAUAUUGCACAAUGGGCGGAAGCCUGAUGCAGCAACGCCGCGUGCGGGAUGCCGGCUUUUGGGUUGUAAACCGCUUUCGACUGUGACGAAGCGUGAGUGACGGUAAUGGGUAAAGAAGCACCGGCUAACUACGUG
rnacentral:rRNA from 1 species